AUACAUGAGCAAAAUCUCAACUUUAUUAGAAGAGACGCAUUUAUUAGAUAAAAAGCCAAUGCAUGCUUUUACAGUAUGAAAAUUGGUGAUUUAUAAUAACUUAGCAAAUCGCAAAGUGAAAACAGGCGAUAAAUCAUUCAAGUUUCUGACCUAUCAGCUUUCGACGGUAUGGUAUUGGCUUACCGUGGCAGUGACGGUUAACGGGGGAUUAGGGUUCGAUUCCGGAGAGGGAGCCUGAGAAACGGCUACCACAUCUAAGGAAGGCAGCAGGCGCGCAAAUUACCCAAUUCUAACAGUUUGAGAGAGGUAGUAACAAGAAAUAACAAUACAAGGCAAUUAAAAUGUUUUGUAAUUGGAAUGAUAGAAAUUUAAACCCUUUUUAAAGUAUCAAUUGGAGGGCAAGUCUGGUGCCAGCAGCCGCGGUAAUUCCAGCUCCAAUAGCGUAUAUUAAAAUUGUUGCAGUUAAGAAGCUCGUAGUUGAAGUUCUGCUAAAAGUAACCGGUCUGCUUUUAAUAAAGGUGGUAUCUUGGUGUGUAUUUAGUAAUGAUGUCCUUUGAAGUGUUUUUUACUUUAUUGUAAUAAAGCAUAUUCAGGACUUUUACUUUGAGAAAAUUAGAGUGUUUCUAGCAGGCUAACGCUUUGAAUACUGCAGCAUGGAAUAAUAAG
rnacentral:rRNA from 1 species